rnacentral:tRNA from 1 species
GCCUGGGUGGCUCAGUCGGUUAAGCAUCUGACUUCGGCUCAGGUCAUGAUCUCGUGGUUUGUGAGUUCGAGCCCCGCAUCAGGCU